UACGGGGGGGGCAAGCGUUGUUCGGAAUUACUGGGCGUAAAGGGCGCGUAGGCGGCCUGCUAAGUCGGACGUGAAAUCCCUCGGCUCAACCGGGGAACUGCGUCCGAUACUGGUGGGCUCGAAUCCGGGAGAGGGAUGUGGAAUUCCAGGUGUAGCGGUGAAAUGCGUAGAUAUCUGGAGGAACACCGGUGGCGAAGGCGGCAUCCUGGACCGGUAUUGACGCUGAGGCGCGAAAGCUAGGGGAGCAAACGGG
rnacentral:rRNA from 1 species